rnacentral:rRNA from 1 species
GACGAACGCUGGCGGCGUGCUUAACACAUGCAAGUCGAACGGAAAGGCCUGCUUUCCCUUGUGGAUUGCGGGUACUCGAGUGGCGAACGGGUGUGUAACACGUGAGUGAUCUGCCCCCAACUUGGGUAUAAGCCUGGGAAACUGGGUCUAAUUCCCGAUAGGACUGCAGGGUGGUGCCUGUGGUGGAAAACGAUUUUCUAGUGGUUGGGGAUGAGCUCGCGGCCUAUCAGCUUGUUGGUGGGGUAAUGGCCUACCAAGGCGGCGACGGGUAGCCGGCCUGGGAGGGUGGACGGCCACAGUGGGACGGCGACACGGCCCAGACUCCUACGGGAGGCAGCAGUGGGGAAGAUUGCGCGAUGGGCGGAAGCCUGAUGCAGCGACGCCGCGUGGGGGAUGACGGCCGUCGGGUGGUAAACUCCUUUCGACCGCGAGGAAGCCACCUGGUUGGAAGGGUGGUGACGGUAGUGGUAGAAGAAGCACCGGCUAACUACGUG